rnacentral:rRNA from 1 species
CCGAGCCUACGGGGCGCAGCAGUGGGGAAUAUUGCACAAUGGGGGAAACCCUGAUGCAGCGACGCCGCGUGAGCGAAGAAGUAUUUCGGUAUGUAAAGCUCUAUCAGCAGGGAAGAAAAAAAUGACGGUACCUGAGUAAGAAGCACCGGCUAAAUACGUGCCAGCAGCCGCGGUAAUACGUAUGGUGCAAGCGUUAUCCGGAUUUACUGGGUGUAAAGGGAGCGUAGACGGCUAUGCAAGUCUGGAGUGAAAGGCGGGGGCCCGACCCCCGGACUGCUCUGGAAACUGUAGAGCUAGAGUGCAGG